rfam:Anas platyrhynchos breed Pekin duck contig115349, whole genome shotgun sequence.
CUAUAUGUACCCUGUAGGCUCGAAUUUGUGUGAGCGUCUCCAAGUCACAAAUUCGUCUCUAGGGGAAUAUAUGGG